GCUGACUAUCUCAGGAGAGAUGGAGGAAAUCUAUGUCAAUGUUCAACAUGGCAAGUCAGUCAACAGAAGCUCUUCAACAAUUCAAACAGGUCCAAAGAGCUCUGAUGGGAAGUUUCACAAAGCUGUUAUUCUUACUUUGGGGCUGCUGAGUGUUUCCCUGUUGGUUGGGCUCAUUGGCCUUGGUCUUCACUCUUUUCAUUCAAAUGGCUGCUGACUUCCUCUGCCAGAAGAUCUUCAUAAACCACGCUGUAGUAAGGAGGACAACACUGGUGUCUUGAUCUACAAAAAGCUCUUCGCAUUUCAUAGAUGCUCCAAACACACACAAAAC
ensembl:lncRNA